rnacentral:misc_RNA from 1 species
GAUGAAGAACGCAGCGAAAUGCGAUAAGUAAUGUGAAUUGCAGAAUUCAGUGAAUCAUCGAAUCUUUGAACGCACAUUGCGCCCGCCAGUAUUCUGGCGGGCAUGCCUGUUCGAGCGUCAUUACAACCCUCAGGCCCCCGGGCCUGGCGUUGGGGAUCGGCGGAGCCCCCCGUGGGCACACGCCGUCCCCCAAAUACAGUGGCGGUCCCGCCGCAGCUUCCAUCGCGUAGUAGCUAACACCUCGCGACUGGAGAGCGGCGCGGCCACGCCGUAAAACACCCAACUCUUCUGAAGUUGACCUCGAAUCAGGUAGGAAUACCCGAUGAACUUAAGCAUAUCAAUAAGCGGAGGA